rnacentral:sRNA from 1 species
GCCGGGCGUGGUGGUGCGUGCCUGUAGUCCCAGCUACUCAGGAGGCUGAGGCAGGAGAAUUGCUUGAACCCAGGAGGCGGAGGUUGCAGUGAGCCAAGACAGUGCCACUGCACUCCAGCCUGGGCGACAGAGUGAGACUCUGCCUCAA